AGCGUUUUGGAACUCAGUGGUAGAGUGUAGGAUUGCAAUUAAACGGCUAGCAUCCUGAAGUCCCGUGUUCGAACCACGGCAGUGUCU